UCUGUGUGUGUUUGGGCACACACACUGCACCAUCCAGGGCUGGCUGAUUCCUUGUGCAGCUUACUACUGAUAACUCUCCAAGUUCACAGCCCCACCUCCAUGACAAAUUAUCAGCAGAAGUGGGUUUGCAAAAAUACAAUUUUAAUCUCACAGGUUGGAAAUUCUUGAGUUACUAUUGAUAUAAUUAAAGUUUUCCUAAUAAAUGCAUUUGAUUUCAACCAUCCUUUAUCAAGCCCACUUUAUGCAGUUCAUGAACAACGGUAAGGUAUUUUUUUGCUGGAAUAAAUAAGCAGAAGAAAAUGUACAAUUAUAUGUCCAUAUACUGUAUACUAUAUACAGUAUUAUCUAUAUGCUCUAGAUAGUUCAAGUGUAUUGCCUAUAUUGAUAUCAAAGUUGUUUCUCUACUAUCAUUAAUAUUGAUGAUGUUUGGCUUUCUUUUUUUGAGAAUUCAACACAGCAUUCAUUCAGGCACCAUUAUGUCUUCAAAAAACAGAAUAGUAAAUGAACAAAAACAAAUACAAAGAAACUUAUAAAUGACACCUCAUGACAAAGUUGAUCUAGAUUCUGGAACAGAACAACUUAUAUUUUAUUUUUCAUCAUGGUGUUUAACUCUCUUGUAUUUUCUUCUGUUUGCAAAUUAAUGUUGACGCAGCCCUGCUCUAAAUCCUGCAUUCACUGGUUGGCACUGCAAGCAGUACUUUAUUUUUGGAGAUCGGAUUUACUUGAAUUUGAUUUCCAUCAAAUCUGAUUCGUUUUUAGCACAAUCCGUUUGUUAUAAACCUAGUCAUUUCUGCAAAAUCAGUUCAUCAAUGAAGCCAGCAGAGGUCGCUUAAUCCAAAAAUAUACACUUUAAUAACAACCUGUUGUAUCUUGUAAUUGCUACUGAUUUAUUACUGAAGUGCAGCCUGCUUCACUGAGCAGUGCAAUGGAUAUCCUAUCAUUUGUCCCUAAAUGAUACUGAAAGAAAGAAUUGCAUAAAUUGAAAAAUUUCCUUCACUCUUUUAAGAAACACCCUGAGAUGCACUGAAAGGAAUAUUUCACAAGUAGAAGGAGGCUGGCAGAUCACAAAGGAAAAUAAACAGAGGAAACCAAAUGUUCAGUGACCGCUUCCUGCGGUCUGCGCAGACCAUAUGAUUGACAACUAUAACACGUCUGAUGUCACUUCCGGUGUCAAUCCACCUGGAUCCGCCUCUUCCUGCCAGAAGGAAUUAAGACCA